AUUGAACGCUGGCGGCAUGCCUUACACAUGCAAGUCGAACGGUGACAGGUCUUCGGAUGCUGACGAGUGGCGAACGGGUGAGUAAUACAUCGGAACGUGCCUAGUAGUGGGGGAUAACUACUCGAAAGAGUGGCUAAUACCGCAUGAGAUCUACGGAUGAAAGCAGGGGAUCGCAAGACCUUGUGCUACUAGAGCGGCCGAUGGCAGAUUAGGUAGUUGGUGGGAUAAAAGCUUACCAAGCCGACGAUCUGUAGCUGGUCUGAGAGGACGAUCAGCCACACUGGGACUGAGACACGGCCCAGACUCCUACGGGAGGCAGCAGUGGGGAAUUUUGGACAAUGGGCGCAAGCCUGAUCCAGCAAUGCCGCGUGCAGGAUGUAGGCCUUCGGGUUGUAAACUGCUUUUGUACGGAACGAAAAGCCCUGGGUUAAUACCCUGGGGUCAUGACGGUACCGUAAGAAUAAGCACCGGCUAACUACGUGCCAGCAGCCGCCGCCG
rnacentral:rRNA from 1 species